rnacentral:tRNA from 1 species
AGGUGGGUAGCUCAGUUGGUAGAGCUACGGUCUCCAAAACCGUAGGUCGCAGGUUCGAUCCCUGUCCCACCUGCCA